ensembl:miRNA
AGGCUCACACGUGCUGCCGCUCAGGCUCAGUGCCAGCCACUCCCACUGGGACUGGUGGCAGCACUUCUGAGUCU